rnacentral:rRNA from 1 species
CGCGUAGGCGGCACGACAAGUCGCUUGUGAAAUCUCCGGGCUUAACUCGGAGCGGCCAAGCGAUACUGUCGCGCUAGAGUGCGGAAGGGGCAACUGGAAUUCUCGGUGUAGCGGUGAAAUGCGUAGAUAUCGAGAGGAACACCUGCGGCGAAGGCGGGUUGCUGGGCCGACACUGACGCUGAUGCGCGAAAGCUAGGGGAGCGAACG